rnacentral:rRNA from 1 species
GGGACACGUGGUAUCCUGUCUGAAUAUGGGGGGACCAUCCUCCAAGGCUAAAUACUCCUGACUGACCGAUAGUGAACCAGUACCGUGAGGGAAAGGCGAAAAGAACCCCGGCGAGGGGAGUGAAAAAGAACCUGAAACCGUGUACGUACAAGCAGUGGGAGCCUCUUUAUGGGGUGACUGCGUACCUUUUGUAUAAUGGGUCAGCGACUUAUAUUCUGUAGCAAGGUUAACCGAAUAGGGGAGCCGAAGGGAAACCGAGUCUUAACUGGGCGUUAAGUUGCAGGGUAUAGACCCGAAACCCGGUGAUCUAGCCAUGGGCAGGUUGAAGGUUGGGUAACACUAACUGGAGGACCGAACCGACUAAUGUUGAAAAAUUAGCGGAUGACUUGUGGCUGGGGGUGAAAGGCCAAUCAAACCGGGAGAUAGCUGGUUCUCCCCGAAAGCUAUUUAGGUAGCGCCUCGUGAAUUCAUCUCCGGGGGUAGAGCACUGUUUCGGCAAGGGGGUCAUCCCGACUUACCAACCCGAUGCAAACUGCGAAUACCGGAGAAUGUUAUCACGGGAGACACACGGCGGGUGCUAACGUCCGUCGUGAAGAGGGAAACAACCCAGACCGCCAGCUAAGGUCCCAAAGUCAUGGUUAAGUGGGAAACGAUGUGGGAAGGCCCAGACAGCCAGGAUGUUGGCUUAGAAGCAGCCAUCAUUUAAAGAAAGCGUAAUAGCUCACUGGUCGAGUCGGCCUGCGCGGAAGAUGUAACGGGGCUAAACCAUGCACCGAAGCUGCGGCAGCGACGCUUAUGCGUUGUUGGGUAGGGGAGCGUUCUGUAAGCCUGCGAAGGUGUGCUGUGAGGCAUGCUGGAGGUAUCAGAAGUGCGAAUGCUGACAUAAGUAACGAUAAAGCGGGUGAAAAGCCCGCUCGCCGGAAGACCAAGGGUUCCUGUCCAACGUUAAUCGGGGCAGGGUGAGUCGACCCCUAAGGCGAGGCCGAAAGGCGUAGUCGAUGGGAAACAGGUUAAUAUUCCUGUACUUGGUGUUACUGCGAAGGGGGGACGGAGAAGGCUAUGUUGGCCGGGCGACGGUUGUCCCGGUUUAAGCGUGUAGGCUGGUUUUCCAGGCAAAUCCGGAAAAUCAAGGCUGAGGCGUGAUGACGAGGCACUACGGUGCUGAAGCAACAAAUGCCCUGCUUCCAGGAAAAGCCUCUAAGCAUCAGGUAACAUCAAAUCGUACCCCAAACCGACACAGGUGGUCAGGUAGAGAAUACCAAGGCGCUUGAGAGAACUCGGGUGAAGGAACUAGGCAAAAUGGUGCCGUAACUUCGGGAGAAGGCACG